UACAGAGGUCCCGAGCGUUGUUCGGAUUCACUGGGCGUAAAGGGUGCGUAGGCGGCUUUGCAAGUCUGAUGUGAAAUCUCCGGGCCCAACCCGGAAAUGGCAUUAGAAACUGUGAGGCUGGAGGCUUGGAGGGGGAACUGAAAUACUUGGUGUAGCAGUGAAAUGCGUAGAUAUCAAGUGGAACACCGGUGGCGAAGGCGAGUUCCUGGACAAGACCUGACGGCUGAGGCACGAAAGCCGGGGGAGCAAACAGG
rnacentral:rRNA from 1 species